GACGCAAGUCUAUGGAGCAACGCGCGUGAGGAAAAGGCUUUCGGUCGUAAUAUUUGGUGGUGGAGAAGAAUGGUCGGCAGAUGUAUCUGGUGUCGGCGUGACGGUAUCCAACCAGAAAGCCACGGCUAAUUACGUGCCAGCAGCCGCGGUAAUACGUAGGUGGCAAGCGUUAUCCGGAUUUAUUGGGCGUAAAGCGAGCGCAGGCGGUUUUUUAAGUCUGAUGUGAAAGCCCUCGGCUUAACCGAGGAAGCGCAUCGGAAACUGGGAAACUUGAGUGCAGAAGAGGACAGUGGAACUCCAUGUGUAGCGGUGAAAUGCGUAGAUAUAUGGAAGAACACCAGUGGCGAAGGCGGCUGUCUGGUCUGUAACUGACGCUGAGGCUCGAAAGCAUGGGUAGCGAACAGGAUUAGAUACCCUGGUAGUCCAUGCCGUAAACGAUGAAUGCUAGGUGUUGGAGGGUUUCCGCCCUUCAGUGCCGCAGCUAACGCAUUAAGCAUUCCGCCUGGGGAGUACGACCGCAAGGUUGAAACUCAAAGGAAUUGACGGGGGCCCGCACAAGCGGUGGAGCAUGUGGUUUAAUUCGAAGCAACGCGAAGAACCUUACCAGGUCUUGACAUCUUUUGAUCACCUGAGAGAUCAGGUUUCCCCUUCGGGGGCAAAAUGACAGGUGGUGCAUGGUUGUCGUCAGCUCGUGUCGUGAGAUGUUGGGUUAAGUCCCGCAACGAGCGCAACCCUUAUGACUAGUUGCCAGCAUUUAGUUGGGCACUCUAGUAAGACUGCCGGUGACAAACCGGAGGAAGGUGGGGAUGACGUCAAAUCAUCAUGCCCCUUAUGACCUGGGCUACACACGUGCUACAAUGGAUGGUACAACGAGUUGCGAGACCGCGAGGUCAAGCUAAUCUCUUAAAGCCAUUCUCAGUUCGGACUGUAGGCUGCAACUCGCCUACACGAA
rnacentral:rRNA from 1 species